rnacentral:rRNA from 1 species
UACGAAGGGGGCUAGCGUUGUUCGGAAUUACUGGGCGUAAAGCGCACGUAGGCGGAAUGUUAAGUCAGGGGUGAAAUCCCGGGGCUCAACCCCGGAACUGCCUUUGAUACUGGCAUUCUCGAGUCCGGAAGAGGUGAGUGGAAUUCCGAGUGUAGAGGUGAAAUUCGUAGAUAUUCGGAGGAACACCAGUGGCGAAGGCGGCUCACUGGUCCGGUACUGACGCUGAGGUGCGAAAGCCAGGGGAGCAAACGGG